AAUACCUCAAACCCUGAUGGAUUUGUUUCCUUUAGGGGCUUUGGAGCUGGAGUGUGCUGGCGCGAGUCGGCUCCUCUCAAAUGCAUCAGCGGAAAUUGAUCUCGGGCUUCAGUGUGAUAAUUAUGUUGCGCUGUGGUCUGAGCCCUCAGGUCCGCUCACAAAUGGUCCUUGGACAAUUAUAUCGA
rnacentral:misc_RNA from 1 species